rnacentral:lncRNA from 1 species
GUGUGCUUUCAAGCCAAGUAUUUUACUAAUCAAGUAUGCUCAGAUGCCAGCAAAGGAAAAUUAGUUAUAGACACCGUUGUAUCUUAAUCCAUCUUAAUCUAAAUCCACUACUCCCGUGAUCUCUCCGUUAUUUUAUGUGUUGGAGGUAUUCGAGAUCUAUGCGGUUGGAUGACUGGCUUACUUGAUGAUUUGUGCGAAGCGUGAUCUAGUGAUCCACCUUGCAAAAGAAGAUCAAUCAUUGCGAAAGAUACAAACCUGGACCCUCGGCCAAUGCCCCACUCUCACUCCUAUCCUUUCCGUAAAGCUAACAACCGACAGAAUUUCUGGACACGGAUUCGCAACUAAAUCACAAGUUUACCACCCCGCCGCCCGCGUUAAUUCCCAUCCCGUCAUUCUCUCCAGGGGAAAUUAUGAAAAUGGUAAAGUGGAAGGAAAGAAAUUAAACGAAUUAAAAUAUUCAGAUUCUAACAUUGGAUGAACUUUCCUAUAAUUUUCAUGUAUCUAUGGGAUCAUUCCGGAGAACAUUUGAAGUUCCUUCACAAAUCACAACAAAUCAAAGUAGGUUAUAAAUGAUCGAGCCAAACUAACCAAUUAGACCACCAGACCUAUAAUGAUAACCAAAUCGGCCGACCAAUAAUAAUGAGCCAUGUGUCUCUUAUUCAAAAUGCACUAAAGAUGCUUAAAGUUUAUUAAGAAGGAUGAUUAGAUGCCAAGAUACGUUGCAAGAUAGUUACAUCUUGUCCCGCAUGUUUAGACAAUUAUUGCACGAUUCGAUGAUUUCAACAUGCUUGCUCUUUUCGGGCAACAACUUAAUGCCCAAACUUCUAUAUACGUAGGAUCUAGAGGGCAUCAAAGUACAUAUAUUGAUAUCUACUCCACUCUACAUAGCACACAUUCUUAAAUCUUCAUCGUUCUAUCAAGGUUCUGCCUGACUUACGCAUUAAAGAGCCUUCAUUAGGUUAACUCCGGCAACCUUUAAUAUUUCUCUUUUCUAUUUGUAUGUAAAAUUCUCCACUUCAA